rnacentral:tRNA from 3 species
GCGCCUGUAGCUCAGCUGGAUAGAGUGUCGCCCUCCGAAGGCGAAGGUCACAGGUUCGACUCCUGUCAGGCGCGCCA